AUGAACGCUGGCGGCGUGCCUAAUACAUGCAAGUCGAGCGAACGGACGAGAAGCUUGCUUCUCUGAUGUUAGCGGCGGACGGGUGAGUAACACGUGGAUAACCUACCUAUAAGACUGGGAUAACUUCGGGAAACCGGAGCUAAUACCGGAUGAUAUUUUGAACCGCAUGGUUCAAAAGUGAAAGACGGUCUUGCUGUCACUUAUAGAUGGAUCCGCGCUGCAUUAGCUAGUUGGUAAGGUAACGGCUUACCAAGGCAACGAUGCAUAGCCGACCUGAGAGGGUGAUCGGCCACACUGGAACUGAGACACGGUCCAGACUCCUACGGGAGGCAGCAGUAGGGAAUCUUCCGCAAUGGGCGAAAGCCUGACGGAGCAACGCCGCGUGAGUGAUGAAGGUCUUCGGACCGUAAAACUCUGUUAUUAGGGAAGAACAUAUGUGUAAGUAACUGUGCACAUCUUGACGGUACCUAAUCAGAAAGCCACGGCUAACUACGU
rnacentral:rRNA from 1 species